rnacentral:rRNA from 1 species
CCUACGGGGGGCAGCAGUGAGGAAUAUUGGUCAAUGGGCGCGAGCCUGAACCAGCCAAGUCGCGUGAGGGAAGACGGUCCUAUGGAUUGUAAACCCCUUUUGUCGGGGAGCAAAAGACGCCACGCGUGGCGUUCCGAGAGUACCCGAAGAAAAAGCAUCGGCUAACACCGUGCCAGCAGCCGCGGUAAUACGGAGGAUGCGAGCGUUAUCCGGAUUUAUUGGGUUAAAAGGGUGCGCAGGCGGAAGAUCAAGUCGGCGGUAAAAUUGAGGGGCUCAACCUCUUCGAGCCGUUGAAACUGGAUUUCGUGAGUGAGUGAGAAGUAUGCGGAAUGCGUAGUGUAGCGGUGAAAUGCAUAGAUAUCACGCAGAACUCCGAUUGCGAAGGCAGCAUACCGGCGCUCAACUGACGCUCAUGCACGAAAGUGUGGGUAUCGAACAGGAUUAGAUACCCUUGUAGUC